AGCGUAUACGGUGGAUGCCUAGGCAGUUAGAGGCGAUGAAGGACGUGUAAGUCUGCGAAAAGCUGUGGUGAGCUGACAAAAAGCAUUUGAGCCACAGAUAUCCGAAUGGGGAAACCCACCUCUUAGAGGUAUCGUUAUGUGAAUACAUAGCAUAACGAGGCGAACCGGGAGAACUGAAACAUCUAAGUACCCCGAGGAAAAGAAAUCAACCGAGAUUCCCCUAGUAGCGGCGAGCGAACGGGGAUUAGCCCUUAAGUUAUCAGUGUUUUAGUGGAAGGCUCUGGAAAGUGCCGCCAUAGUGGGUGAUAGCCCCGUACACGACAAAACGCUGGUAGUGAAAUCGAGUAGGUCGGGACACGUGUUAUCUUGACUGAAUAUGGGGGGACCAUCCUCCAAGGCUAAAUACUCCUAACUGACCGAUAGUGAACCAGUACCGUGAGGGAAAGGCGAAAAGAACCCCUGUGAGGGGAGUGAAAUAGAACCUGAAACCGUAUACGUACAAGCAGUCGGAGCCCUUCGGGGUGACGGCGUACCUUUUGUAUAAUGGGUCAGCGACUUAUAUUUAGUAGCGAGGUUAACCGAUUAGGGGAGCCGUAGCGAAAGCGAGUGUUAACUGCGCGUUUAGUUGCUAGGUAUAGACCCGAAACCCGGUGAUCUAGCCAUGGGCAGGUUGAAGGUUGAGUAACAUCAACUGGAGGACCGAACUCACUAAUGUUGAAAAAUUAGGAGAUGACUUGUGGCUGGGGGUGAAAGGCCAAUCAAACCGGGAGAUAGCUGGUUCUCCCCGAAAGCUAUUUAGGUAGCGCCUCGGACGAACACCUACGGGGGUAGAGCACUGUUUGGGCUAGGGGGUCAUCCCGACUUACCAACCCCAUGCAAACUCCGAAUACCGUAGAGUGCUAUCCGGGAGACACACGGCGGGUGCUAACGUCCGUCGUGAAGAGGGAAACAACCCAGACCGCCAGCUAAGGUCCCAAAAUAUUGCUAAGUGGGAAACGAUGUGGAAAGGCCCAGACAGCUAGGAGGUUGGCUUAGAAGCAGCCACCCUUUAAAGAAAGCGUAAUAGCUCACUAGUCGAGUCGGUCUGCGCGGAAGAUGUAACGGGGCUAAGCAAUAUACCGAAGCUGCGGCAGCAUACUUAGUAUGCUGGGUAGGGGAGCGUUGUGUAAGUGGCUGAAGGUGACUCGAGAGGGUUGCUGGACAUAUCACAAGUGCGAAUGCUGACAUGAGUAACGAUAAAGGGGGUGAAAAACCCCCUCGCCGGAAGACCAAGGUUUCCUGUCCCAUGCUAAUCAGGGCAGGGUAAGUCGGCCCCUAAGGCGAGGCCGAAAGGCGUAGUCGAUGGGAAACGGGUUAAUAUUCCCGUACCGGUGUUAUCAGUGAUGGGGGGACGGAGAAGGCUAUGCAAGCUUGGCGUUGGUUGUCCAAGUGAAAGUGCGUAGGCUGAGGACUUAGGUAAAUCCGGGUUCUUAAGGCCGAGACACGAGACGAAUCACCAAGGUGAUGAAGUUGCAGAUGCCCUGCUUCCAGGAAAAGCCUCUAAACUUAUGAUAACACUGACCGUACCCCAAACCGACACAGGUGGUCAGGUAGAGAAUACCAAGGCGCUUGAGAGAACUCGGGUGAAGGAACUCGGCAAAAUAGUACCGUAACUUCGGGAGAAGGUACGCCCCCGGUGGUGAACGCUUUACGCGGUAAGCUAUUGGGGGUCGCAGUGACCAGGUGGCUGGGACUGUUUAUUAAAAACACAGCACUGUGCUAAAUCGAAAGAUGACGUAUACGGUGUGACACCUGCCCGGUGCCGGAAGGUUAAUUGAUGGGGUUAGCUUAGGCGAAGCUCUUGAUCGAAGCCCCGGUAAACGGCGGCCGUAACUAUAACGGUCCUAAGGUAGCGAAAUUCCUUGUCGGGUAAGUUCCGACCUGCACGAAUGGUGUAACCAUGGCCACGCUGUCUCCACCCGAGACUCAGUGAAAUUGAAAUUGCCGUGAAGAUGCGGUGUACCCGCGGCUAGACGGAAAGACCCCGUGAACCUUUACUACAGCUUGGCACUGAACAUUGACCCUACAUGUGUAGGAUAGGUGGGAGGCUUUGAAGCAUUGUCGCCAGAUGAUGUGGAGCCGACCUUGAAAUACCACCCUUGUAUGUUUGAUGUUCUAACGUUGGUCCCUUAUCGGGAUUGCGGACAGUGUCUGGUGGGUAGUUUGACUGGGGCGGUCUCCUCCCAAAGCGUAACGGAGGAGCACGAAGGUUGGCUAAUCCUGGUCGGACAUCAGGAGGUUAGUGUAAUGGCAUAAGCCAGCUUAACUGCGAGACAGACACGUCGAGCAGGUACGAAAGUAGGUCAUAGUGAUCCGGUGGUUCUGAAUGGAAGGGCCAUCGCUCAACGGAUAAAAGGUACUCCGGGGAUAACAGGCUGAUACCGCCCAAGAGUUCAUAUCGACGGCGGUGUUUGGCACCUCGAUGUCGGCUCAUCACAUCCUGGGGCUGAAGUCGGUCCCAAGGGUAUGGCUGUUCGCCAUUUAAAGUGGUACGCGAGCUGGGUUUAGAACGUCGUGAGACAGUUCGGUCCCUAUCUGCCGUGGGCGCUGGAUGAUUGAGGGGAGCUGCUCCUAGUACGAGAGGACCGGAGUGGACGAACCGCUGGUGUUCGGGUUGUCAUGCCAAUGGCACUGCCCGGUAGCUACGUUCGGAAUCGAUAACCGCUGAAAGCAUCUAAGCGGGAAGCGAGCCCCAAGAUGAGUCAUCCCUGACAGUUUACUGUCCUAAAGGGUUGU
rnacentral:rRNA from 1 species